GCUUCCUUGGCUCAGUUGGUAGAGCGUCAGUCUCAUAAUCUGAAGGUCGCCAGUUCGAACCUGGCAGGGAGCA